GACGUAGGGCGCGAGCGUUGUCCGGAUUGACUGGGCGUAAAGCGCACGCAGGCGGGGGUGCGCGUGGGGUGUGAAAUCUGGCCGCUUAACGGCCAGGCGCCAUCCCAUACGGCACGCCUGGAGUGAUGCAGAGGUCGAUGGAAUUGCCGGUGUAGUGGUGAAAUGCGUAGAGAUCGGCAGGAACACCCAGGGGGAAACCAGUCGACGGGGCAUCUACUGACGCUGAGGUGCGAGAGCGUGGGGAGCGAACCGG
rnacentral:rRNA from 1 species